rfam:Serinicoccus sp. JLT9, complete genome.
UGUUAAGUUUUUAAGAGCGCACGGUGGAUGCCUUGGCACGAGGAACCGAAGAAGGACGUAGGAAUCUGCGAUAAGCCUCGGGGAGUCGAUAACCAGACUGUGAUCCGAGGGUGUCCGAAUGGGGAAACCCGGCCAGCUUCAUCGCUGGUCACCCGCACCUGAAUGUAUAGGGUGUGUGGAGGGAACGUGGGGAAGUGAAACAUCUCAGUACCCACAGGAAGAGAAAACAACAUGUGAUUCCGUGAGUAGUGGCGAGCGAAAGCGGAUGAGGCUAAACCGUAGUUGUGUGAUACCUGGUAGGGGUUGCAGCUGCGGGGUUGUGGGAGCGUGACGACCGGGACUACCAUCCUGGUGCGUAGUGAGAAAUCGUGUGGUGUAGGUGAAGGGUCUGGAAAGGCCUGGCGUAGACGGUGAGACCCCGGUAGCCGAAACACCCGCGACUGCGUGUUGCGCCUCCCGAGUAGUACGGGGCCCGAGAAAUCUCGUACGAAUCUGGCAGGACCACCUGCUAAGCCUAAAUAUUACCUCGUGACCGAUAGCGGACAAGUACCGUGAGGGAAAGGUGAAAAGUACCCCGGGAGGGGAGUGAAAUAGUUCCUGAAACCGUGCGCUUACAAUCCGUCGGGGCUCACACCUUGUGUGUGGGUGACGGCGUGCCUUUUGAAGAAUGAGCCUGCGAGUUAGUGCUCAGUGGCGAGGUUAACCCGUGUGGGGGAGCCGUAGCGAAAGCGAGUCCGAACAGGGCGUAUGAGUCGCUGGGUCUAGACCCGAAGCGGAGUGAUCUACCCAUGGCCAGGGUGAAGCGCGGGUAAGACCGCGUGGAGGCCCGAACCCACUUAGGUUGAAAACUGAGGGGAUGAGCUGUGGGUAGGGGUGAAAGGCCAAUCAAACUCCGUGAUAGCUGGUUCUCCCCGAAAUGCAUUUAGGUGCAGCGUCAUGUGUUUCUUGCCGGAGGUAGAGCUACUGGAUGGCUGAUGGGCCUUACCGGGUUACUGACGUCAGCCAAACUCCGAAUGCCGGUAAGUGAGAGCAUGGCAGUGAGACUGCGGGGGAUAAGCUUCGUAGUCGAGAGGGAAACAGCCCAGAUCACCAGCUAAGGUCCCUAAGCGUGUGCUAAGUGGGAAAGGAUGUGGAGUUGCGAAGACAACCAGGAGGUUGGCUUAGAAGCAGCCACCCUUGAAAGAGUGCGUAAUAGCUCACUGGUCAAGUGAUUCCGCGCCGACAAUGUAGCGGGGCUCAAGCACACCACCGAAGCUGUGGCACCAGCACUUUCGCUCAGCAUCACCCUCGGGUGGUGUUCAGGCGUGCUGGUGGGUAGGGGAGCGUCGUGCCGGGAGUGAAGCAUCCGAGUGAUCGAGGUGUGGAUCCGGCACGAGUGAGAAUGCAGGCAUGAGUAGCGAAUGAAGAGUGAGAAACUCUUCCGCCGAAUCACCAAGGGUUCCAGGGUCAAGCUAAUCUGCCCUGGGUAAGUCGGGACCUAAGGCGAGGCCGACAGGCGUAGUCGAUGGACAUCCGGUUGAUAUUCCGGAACCGGCGAAGAACCGCCCAGUACCGAGGCCGGGGAUGCUGAGCGCCUGAAGCCACCCACAACCUUGACCGUUCGCGGUCGGGGGCGGGUGGUGGAACGCGUGACCCAAUCCGGUAGUAGGUAAGCGAUGGAAGGACGCAGGAAGGUAGCCUCCGCGUGGCGAUGGUUGUCCACGUCGAAGAGCGCAGGGCCGGGGAGUGGUAAGUCCGCCCCAGUAGUGCCCGAGGCUUGAUCGUGACCGCGUAUGCGGGAAGCAGGGUGAUCCUAUGCUGCCAAGAAAAGUUCCUAGCGAGGUUCGAGCCGCCCGUACCCCAAACCGACUCAGGUGGUGAGGUAGAGAAUACCGAGGCGAUCGAGUGAAUCGUGGUUAAGGAAUUCGGCAAAAUGCCCCCGUAACUUCGGGAGAAGGGGGGCCCGAGACGUGAAACCCCUUGCGGGUUAGCGUUGAGGGCCGCAGAGACCAGGGAGAAGCGACUGUUUACUAAAAACACAGGUCCGUGCGAAGUCGCAAGACGAUGUAUACGGACUGACGCCUGCCCGGUGCUGGAACGUUAAGGGGACGGGUCAACCCAUUCGUGGGUGAAGCUCUGAACUUAAGCGCCAGUAAACGGCGGUGGUAACUAUAACCAUCCUAAGGUAGCGAAAUUCCUUGUCGGGUAAGUUCCGACCUGCACGAAUGGCGUAACGACUUCUCCACUGUCUCAACCGCGAACUCGGCGAAAUUGCACUACGAGUAAAGAUGCUCGUUACGCGCAGCAGGACGGAAAGACCCCGGGACCUUUACUAUAGCUUGGUAUUGGUGUUCGGUACGGCUUGUGUAGGAUAGGUGGGAGACUGUGAAGCAGCCACGCCAGUGGUUGUGGAGUCAACGUUGAAAUACCACUCUGGUCGUUCUGGAUUCCUAACCUCGGUCCGUGAUCCGGAUCAGGGACAGUGCCUGGUGGGUAGUUUAACUGGGGCGGUUGCCUCCCAAAAAGUAACGGAGGCGCCCAAAGGUUCCCUCAGCCUGGUUGGCAAUCAGGUGUCGAGUGUAAGUGCACAAGGGAGCUUGACUGUGAGACAGACAUGUCGAGCAGAGACGAAAGUCGGGACUAGUGACCCGACGGUGGCUCGUGGAAGCGCCGUCGCUCAACGGAUAAAAGGUACCCCGGGGAUAACAGGCUGAUCCUGCCCAAGAGCUCAUAUCGACGGCAUGGUUUGGCACCUCGAUGUCGGCUCGUCGCAUCCUGGGGCUGGAGUCGGUCCCAAGGGUUGGGCUGUUCGCCCAUUAAAGCGGUACGCGAGCUGGGUUUAGAACGUCGUGAGACAGUUCGGUCCCUAUCCGCUGCGCGCGCAGGAAACUUGAGAAGAGCUGUCCCUAGUACGAGAGGACCGGGAUGGACGAACCACUGGUGUGUCAGUUGUUCCGCCAGGAGCACCGCUGAUUAGCUACGUUCGGACGUGAUAACCGCUGAAAGCAUCUAAGCGGGAAGCACACUUCAAGAUGAGGUUUCCAACACCCAUUGGGUGGAGAGGCUCCCAGCUAGACUACUGGGUUGAUAGGCCGGACGUGGAAGCACAGCAAUGUGCGUAGCUGACCGGUACUAAUAAGCCGACAACUUAACAAA